AGAGUCGACCUAUGAAAUGAUCUGUCUGCAUGCAUUAACAUGGUCAGAUUUUUCAAACAAACACACGGGCAAGCCAAGAUUCACCAAACAAAAUAUUUGCAAGGCUAAUGACCUCGAGGACAUUGGUCUACAGGUAAUACAAUCAGGCGACCCCUAACCCACAAGAAACCUGGUCUGUACAUAACUGUAGAAGUUCGAAAUGAAUCAUGUUCUGUAGAUAAUGUCUCCGACUGCUGAUAUUGGUGCACUCAAUCUAUCAGCCAAAAACAAUAAAGCACUGGACUAAUUUCAGUUUUCAAAGAUCUCCAUUGUUUGCACCUAGGUUUACUUAUUAUAAUCAAUCAUAAAAGUAUCUUAAAAUACAGUUGAAAUAAUUGUAACAUGCUAAAAUGUAUUAAAAUGACCUGUCAUUAUACAAUAAGGCCCUGUGUCAAAUGACUUUUGCCUAAUUUAUAUAGAAUACAUAACAACAAAAGAACAAUCAGGUAUAACAGUCUUUUUUUAUUCUCCAUUCCAAGCCAUCAAUGAACAUUCCUUACUGUUUGCACCAUUAUAAAAGGCCAAAACUUUUCAUCCAUUAUUUUUUCAUAUAGUUAAGGAAAGGAUAUGUGAAAGUCUAAAUUAGAUCACUAUUGAAUGCUAUUCCGAUAAACCAUUUUUAAAAUUCAUCAGGCUCACACACAAAGACAAGACUACUCAUUCCAUUCAAAAUUUCCAAUGUCAAUGUCACGUUUUUUUUCUCUGUUGUCCAGUUUUUUUUCUCCUGGUUUUCCUAUACUCAUCCCUCAAAUUUUGCUGGCUUUCAUCUCACCACAAAUGCUGCAAACACAGGCUGCCCCUCUGCAAUGAUGUGUGGGGCACAAAGACUCAACACUGCAUCCAUGUCUCACAUCUCUUCCUACAUGUACCUCACUCCCCCUCUCUACACUUGAGUGGUUGUAUUUCCUUUUAGUUAUCUGUAUACUCCUUUGCCACAACGGACAUUUUUAUAUUUAUCUUCAGAAGCUUGUGUUGGAGGUUUUUUCGGAUCAUUAGGGACUUCACAUUUAUAUUAGCUUCAGACCAAGUCAACAGCCUGACUUAUUGCCUCACCGAUUGCCUCAGGAAUCUGGAUGUCGCCAGUCAGGUUCAAGUCCUUUUUUAAUUCACAGUCAAUUUGCACUUCAACGGCAUCCUCUGGCUUGUCAAUGCCGUUGACACAUUCCUUUUGCUGUGGCUCCGGGGCAGACACGGCAGCUAGCUUGGCUGCCUGCUCCUGACACUCCCCAUUGACCUCAGGGGCAGAAGGCUCAGCAGUAGCCUCCGCUGCGGAAACAUCUUCCCUGUUGUCCAGCACAGCAUCCUGUGGCCCAGCGCUGGCCUCCUCUGCAGCAGCAGCUUCAGGUUCAAGCUCCGCUACGGAUUCUUCUACAGGUAGGGGGAGCUCUUUAGCGGCUGGUUCUAGGACGGAUUCUGUUUCUGCGGCUGCCUCUGGAUCUGCGGCUGCCUCUGACUCUGACACAGCUUCUGCAAUUGAUGUAGGCUCCUCCUCCAGUGUGGGUGAAGCUGCUUCUGCCUCUAUUGGUGCCUCGGGCACAGCCUCAGGUUCUGGGGCCUCCCCUGUAACAGUCUCUGUUUCAGGCUCUUCUGAUGCAGGCUCUUUUGGUGCUGCCUCAGGCUUUUCUGGUGCAGGCUCUUUUGGUGCUGCCGCAGGCUCUUCUGCUGCAUGCUCUUUUGGUGCUGACGCAGGCUCUUCUGGAGCAGGCUCUUCCACUGCAGGCUCUUUUGGUGCUGCCACAGGCUCUUUUGGUGCAGGUUCUUUUGGUGCUGCCGCAGGCUCUUCUGGUACAGGCUCUUCCACUGCAGGCUCUUUUGGUGUAGCCACUGUUUCGUCUAGUGCCGCUGGUUCUUCCGGUGCCUCUGUUUUAUCUGGUGCUGUUACAGGUUCCUCUGGUGAUGCUGCUGAUUCCUCAGCUGCUGCAGGUUCUUCCAGUGCUGACACUGGCUCUUCUGGAGCUGCGGCUGGUUCCUCUGCUACUGCUGCAGGUUCUUCCGGUGCCAACACUGGCUCUUCUGGAGCUGCAGGUUCUUCUGGUGCUGCAGCUGGUGCUGGCUCCUCUGGUGCUGCAGCUGGUUCUUCUGAAGCUACUGGUUUUUCUGCUGUUGGCGCUGAUUCUGCCAUUGCUGCCACAGGUUCAUCUGGUACAGUUGCUGGCUCUGCGGUGGCCCCCUUGGCCACAGCAUCUAUAGCUGACAGGGCCUCUUCUGUCACAUCUUUGAUGGUUACCGCUGCCGACUCCACUGCUCCCUCUACCGCAGCAGACACCUUAGGAGCAUCCUUCGCUGCCAACUCAGCGACCGGAGCUGGUGCUUUGCUCUCCACGGCAUGGGCCAUGGCCUCAACGGCACUCACAGCAGCCACAGUAAUCUCCUCCUUCUUGUCCUUUGGGUCGCUGACAUCGUACCCCUUCUUCCUCUUGCUCAGCUUGCCUCCCAUGGUGUCUCCUAAAAGUGAAUAAUAAAAUCAGAAUGACUUAACAAGUGUGACAGGUUGUUGCGUUUGAUCAUCUAUGCAUAGUAUAUAUCCAUUUCCUUUAAUUACCCACCACAAACCUCAAUACCAAGUUAAAGCGGAAUAAAAUUCAAAGCAUUGCAAUCAUGCCAACAUAGUGCCGCCUGUCUCCGUUGUAAGAAAGCACUCAGUCGGGCUUUAAAGGGGGAAGGCAUUUCAAUCUGGAGACCACACUCUGCCAAAUACUAUUGGCUAAAAAACAAAUGACCACUGCAUGGGAACUACUCCAAGUUCUAAACUAUCCAGUGCUCUUGUAUAAACCACAGGACAAGACACCCUCUCUGGAGUCUUAGGUAAUGUUAUUAUGUGCCAAGUGAGCCUCCC
rnacentral:lncRNA from 1 species